GGCCGUGUGGCGAAAUGGCAUCGCGUCUGACUACGACGUGCUCUUAUCAGGAGAUUGCAGGUUCGACCCCUGUCUCGGUCA
rfam:Galerina marginata CBS 339.88 GALMAscaffold_7_Cont276, whole genome shotgun sequence.